rnacentral:rRNA from 1 species
UACGGGGGGAGCAAGCGUUGUUCGGAUUUACUGGGCGUAAAGGGCGCGUAGGCGGCCACCGCAAGUCAAUUGUGAAAUCUCCGGGCUUAACUCGGAAAGGUCAACUGAUACUGCGGGGCUAGAGUGCGGAAGGGGCAACUGGAAUUCUCGGUGUAGCGGUGAAAUGCGUAGAUAUCGAGAGGAACACCUGCGGCGAAGGCGGGUUGCUGGGCCGACACUGACGCUGGGGCGCGAAAGCGUGGGUAGCAAACAGG